AUCGCUUCUCGGCCUUUUGGCUAAGAUCAAGUGUAGAAAUUGUGUAUUUACUUCUUUUACCUAUAACUUUUUUCUUUCAAACAAGUGACUCAUA
rnacentral:snRNA from 1 species